rnacentral:rRNA from 1 species
UACGUAGGUGGCAAGCGUUUGUCCGGAAUUAUUGGGCGUAAAGAGCUCGUAGGCGGUCUGUUGCGUCCGCUGUGAAAACUCGGGGCUUAACCCCCGAGCCUGCAGUGGAUACGGGCAGACUAGAGGUAGGUAGGGGAGAAUGGAAUUCCCGGGUGUAGCGGUGAAAUGCGCAGAUAUCGGGAGGAACACCGGUGGCGAAGG